rnacentral:tRNA from 1 species
GGAGAGGUGUCCGAGUGGUUGAUGGUGCCGCUCUCGAAAAGCGGUAGGCCGAUGAGGCCUCGUGGGUUCGAAUCCCACCCUCUCCGCCA